CCUACGGGAGGCAGCAGUAGGGAAUAUUGGACAAUGAGCGAAAGCCUGAUCCAGCAAUGCCGCGUGAGUGAUGAAGGCCUUAGGGUUGUAAAGCUCUUUUACCCGAGAUGAUAAUGACAGUAUCGGGAGAAUAAGCUCCGGCUAACUCCGUGCCAGCAGCCGCGGUAAU
rnacentral:rRNA from 1 species